rnacentral:tRNA from 1 species
AGGUGUAUAGCUCAAGUGGUAGGGCACAUGCUCAUCAUACACGAAGUCCUGGGUUCAAUCCCCAGUACCUCUU